rnacentral:rRNA from 1 species
AGGGCGAACGCUGGCGGCAGGCCUAAUACAUGCAAGUCGAACGGAUCCUUCGGGAUUAGUGGCGGACGGGUGAGUAACACGUGGGAACGUGCCCUUUGGUUCGGAACAACUCAGGGAAACUUGAGCUAAUACCGAAUGUGCCCUUCGGGGGAAAGAUUUAUCGCCAUUGGAGCGGCCCGCGUCUGAUUAGCUAGUUGGUGGGGUAAAGGCCCACCAAGGCUACGAUCAGUAGCUGGUCUGAGAGGAUGAUCAGCCACACUGGGACUGAGACACGGCCCAGACUCCUACGGGAGGCAGCAGUAGGGAAUCUUGCGCAAUGGGCGAAAGCCUGACGCAGCCAUGCCGCGUGAAUGAUGAAGGUCUUAGGAUUGUAAAAUUCUUUCAGCGGGGACGAUAAUGGCGGUACCCGCAGAAGAAGCCCCGGCUAACUUCGUGCCAGCAGCCGC